CCUCGCAGGGAUCAGAAAGACAGACGUGAUGUACGUUCCAUGCUCACCCCACAAGCAUGAAACCCCGCACUAAGACAGUCACUGCACGCAGGCGUCACAGAGCACGUGUGCGGGGCGUCUAUGGACACAAAAGCUCCCGUGGGGGGCGAUGCGGUCUUGGCCAUUCUUUGUCCUCUUCAUCUCCGAGUCGACUAUCACCCCAUCUUCCAGAUGAAGAAGCUGAGGCUCCCAAGAGGGAAGCAGUAUGUGAGCAACAGUGCCAUGAGUUCAACCCAGAUCUUUCUGACUCCAGUCAUACCCAGCAUAGUGGAAUGACGGAGUCGAAACCCAGUAAACUGUGGGAGGAGGAGAGGAUGUUCUGGUGGUUUCUGCCUGGGCACCACGGAGGACAGAUGGCAGUGGGCUUUUUUUCCUACAGGAAAAUUGGAUUACUUGGGGAAAAAUAUUUCCUCUUAAAUAACUUUUCAAAUGAAAAGGAAAAAAAACAAGUGUGGAAGUAAGGAAAGGUGAAGAAGGUGCGUGUUCACGGACUCGUGGAGGAGAGACCUUCCAGAAGAGACUCAACAGUAUCGGCUACUCUGAAAGUCCCAACAGGAUGAAGACCAAGAUAAAGAAAGGAGGAAGCCACUGAUGACCUUACGUUUCUUAUGGGAAACGUUUAUUUAUUGUUCUUUGUCUCCAGCCACCUUCCUCUCUCAGCCCAGACCCACAUUUUCCCUCACCUUCUCCUGGACAUCUUCCCCUGGCUAUUCUGUGGAUAGUUCAAACUUGGGUACCCCAGAACUGCCUACUCUUCACUCCAGCGCCCAAUCAGACAGACAGACAGACAGACACCAGACUCAUUCACCUGUUCUCCCCAUCCUCCUCGGUCACACCACCAUCCACCCAAACUGAGUAUCAUUCCAGAAUCUUUCCCUCCCCCUGCGUAUGCACGUGUAGCGGAUCCUUUAAAUAUCUCAUUGACUAAUCUCUCCUCUCUAACCUUGAGGCUACAGCCUUAGGCCUUCCUUAUCUCUUAUCCAGACCGACUCACCACUACCCCACCUACCACCCUCCUACUCCUAACCCAUCCCCCACACCUUUACGGACUCCGAAUGCCUUUGGACCAUUUGACUCACACAUAACACUCUGCUCCCAUUCUCCCCAGAAUCAAGUCUAACUUCUUUAAAAUCUUGCAAAUAAUGAAACAAGGAGCAUCAGGGUAUAUAUAACUCGCCUUACUCAUUCAAGUUAUUUCCUCGGGAUAAAUCCGAAAUUGAGCAGUGAUCCCACCCGCCUGCCCCCAUUCUUCUCCAUCGAAAAAAAAUCUUAAUAUUUGUGCCCUGACUCGGCUUGUUUUU